UACGGAGGGCGCAAGCGUUGUUCGGAAUCACUGGGCGUAAAGCGCGUGUAGGCGGCUUGGUAAGUCGGGUGUGAAAUCCCGGGGCCCAACCCCGGAACUGCAUUCGAAACUGCCUCGCUGGAGUCCCGGAGAGGAAGGCGGAAUUCCCGGUGUAGAGGUGAAAUUCGUAGAUAUCGGGAGGAACACCAGUGGCGAAGGCGGCCUUCUGGACGGUGACUGACGCUGAGACGCGAAAGCGUGGGGAGCAAACAGG
rnacentral:rRNA from 1 species